rnacentral:rRNA from 1 species
CAGCGCCACGGGAAUACGAAGGGUGCAAGCGUUAAUCGGAAUUACUGGGCGUAAAGCGUGCGUAGGUGGUGGUUUAAGUCCGUUGUGAAAGCCCUGGGCUCAACCUGGGAAUUGCAGUGGAUACUGGAUCACUAGAGUGUGGUAGAGGAUAGUGGAAUUUCCGGUGUAGCAGUGAAAUGCGUAGAGAUCGGAAGGAACAUCUGUGGCGAAGGCGACUAUCUGGGCCAACACUGACACUGAGGCACGAAAGCGUGGGGAGCAAACAGGAUUAGAUACCCCAGUAGUCCCUGUCUCUUAUACA